GUUGUGACAGGACAGCGCUGUGCUCUGCGCCAUUCGUUUAAAAUUUAAAUGUGUUUUUCGUUCCUUGCGAUUAAAUCGUGUAUUGUACUGUGUUUGUGUCCUGUGCGUUGUUUUUCGUUUGCUCGUCUCUAAUUAUGUGUUCAGCAUUCGAGAGACUAAUGAGAGAAAAGCUGAAAGAGUUCAGCAUCGAUGACGACGGGCAAUUGCGUGGUUAUUGUGAAUCUCAAGCAGAAAUUGAUGUACUUCUGACCCAGCUGAAGUGCGUCGGUUAUUCGUACUCGGUGAGAAGAAGCACUCAGCAGCCAAAAUCUUCAGAUGCGUCAAGGAGUUGUCCAAAAUUUUUCUUCAGACUUAAGAGUGGGAGCGUGGAUAUCCGAUUUUUCAGAUAUCCUUUCUCAGUGGAAAAUGCAGGUCACCGGGAAUGUAUUCUUGGCCCGAAGUACUACAAAGAAAAGAAAGGGGUUCCUGUUCCAGAUCACCUGGCUGACCAUAUGAACCCCAGGAAGAGACUCUGUUAUGGACACAAAGAAAAGUGGUUGCCCAGCUACAUUCUCUGUUAAAUGUAUCCGGGUAUACCCUGGAUAUUCAAUUGAGUCAGAGGGGGCUCAUCCUAAUAUUAAGAAAAGGGUUUUGGAAAGCUUGAGACAGGCUUUGGUGUCCCCAAAUCAGCCCACAAGCUUUCUUAGAUUUCAUGUGGUUGCUUCACCAGUAGGCUCACACACACACAGCACAGAAAGUGUCAAAGUUACUGCAGAAAUACACCCUAUGCUAGCAAAUGAAAUAGGAAAUGUUGUUAAAGAAGGAACAAGAUCGGUACCGGUAAUCAAAUUACAUCUUGACAAUUUUGUCAAGACAAAUUUCAGUGCAACCACCAUGCCAGAUCGUGACAAUGUAAUGUUUUAUCCCUCAGAUAAAACGAUUUAUAAUCAUAUGUAUAAUGCUAUAUUGAAAAUGAAAAAGACAACAAUUGAUCAGGAUGCUCUGCAGAUGAAAGUUAGUGAGUGGAAGAAAGAGUUGUCAGGUGGCAAUAUCCAUUUUAGACCUUGUGCAGAGGUAGAUGGAGAGGUACAGCCACUACUCUUUUGCUACCAGACUGCGUGGCAAGUGGAAUUAUUAAGAAAGUAUGGGACAGUAUGCUUGCUUGAUGCGACAUAUAAAACCACUAAGUAUGACAUUCCACUGAUUUCAUAACAGUGAAAGCAAAUGUGUGCUAUUUAGUUGUAGGUUUUUUUUUAUGUUCAGGUAGAAGACACACAAUCCAUUUGUGAAGCAUUAAAUAUUUUCAAGGAGUGGAACGUGGACAUGAGUCCUGGAUAUUGGGUAACUGAUUUCUCAGAAUCCGAGAUAAAUGCUAUUCAGGCAGUAUUUCCCUGCUCUAAAGUGUAUUUAUGUUCAUUUCACAGGGAACAAGCUUGGAACAGGUGGUUACGUGAACAUGUGAAAGAACAAGAAGACAGAGAGACAAUAGUUUAUCAGUGGAGAAGAGUUGCAGCAUUGUCCUCCUUGCAACAGUACAAAGAUAAUUUAGAAAAAAUGAAAAAUCAUCAUGUUUUUGAAGGGAAGGAGUCUGCAUUAAAAUAUUUUGAGAAACAAUGGGUUCCGGUGCAUCAUAGUUGGGUGAAAGCUUUUGAGCACAAAGGCAUGUUUGCCAAUAUAAACACAACAAAUGGUGCCGAAGCAAUGAAUAGGUUGAAGUAUUCACACCUUCAUCAAAGUACAGACACAACAUUAACAGGUGUUAUUACAGUUUUAGUCCAUAGUUACCUCCCUAGCCUCAUUGAAAAGUAUUGUAAAUUGAAUUCUGCCAUUAAGUCAUACAAUAAGAUGAUCCCUGUAUUCCUGCAUAGGAAGACACCCGACUUCACAAGGCAUGUAAUGAAGCGAUAUGAAUCAGUGGAAGUUGAUUUUAGUGCAGAAUCGGUAACAAUGGUAACUACGGGAUUGUUUCAUGUAAAAUGUGCAGGAAACAAAGGCUCUCAUUACACGGUAAACUUCGAAAAACCUGAUUGCUCUUGUCCAGAUUUCCAAAAGUUCAAGUAUCCUUGCAAGCACUUCUGUGCCAUUUUCCAUUUCUCAGAAUGGGGAUUUCACAAAUUGAAUUUCAGUUAUAGGACUAGUCCAUUGAUUUGCUUGGAUGAAACAUAUGGGUUUGGCUCGCGAAGAAGUUGCAGUACAGAAACCAGCACUGAAACAAAUGACUUGCAGGACACCAGCCAAAGUCAUGAAACAAAUGAACAGCACAUUCCUGAAACAUCAAAUGGUAAUUCAGCAGUGCAUCAACGGGUAAGAUAAGUGUGUAAGAAUUUAAUAAAUCUGACAUACAAUUGCAGUAAUGAAACAGCUAAUAAAACGAUUGAACACCUCACAACCUUGCAACAUGAUGUAGAGUCAUCAAACCCUACAGACAAUGGCCUUCCAUUAUCAGCGGCAUCAACUUCAAAGUGACAGAAAUAUACUUGUGCACUCUGAAAAGCCAACAGAAUGUGAGGCACCGAAUGGUUGCCCAUCCAAGUGCUGUCCACACCCAGUGGUGCUUAACUUCAGUGAUAUGAGGGGAACCGGUGUAUCCGCUCGGCCAAGCUGUUGGCUUUGCUUUAUACAUAAUAAAUCUUUUGGCAUUAUGUAUAAUGUAGAUUUGGCAUGAGCCUUAUGUUAAAAGAUUAAACUGUAGAGGGUACUUUUUUUUCCCCCUAGUAUUCAGAUUUUAGUGGUGAUGUUCAUUUUUUACAACUUUCAUUGCUGGCAGUAGGUGUAAGUAUUCAAAGUGCAUUCCACUUACUGUAAUCUGUGCAGAGCUGUUCAAUAGGUACAAAGAACCGCAAACUGGAGUGCAAAGUGUCUGAAUGUUCUGUGAUGCUUCUACUUCAGAACACACCAAUAUGGAGCUAUAUGAUAACGUAUGGAGUUAAUGAAGAAUCCACAGGGCUUUAAUCAAUAGAAAAAGUGCUAAAGCAACUGGAAACAUAUAAAUGUUAUCAUUAUCAACAGAAAUGAAACUUUUUUUAACUUAUUGAGAAGCAGACCAGAUCAUAUACCCCCUCUUGUUCUUUCAGGAAUGUGCUGCUUCUUUUGUGAUUUCUGCUGGUAUCCUGUAAGCCAUGUGUUGCAGUGCUAGAUUUUGUACUGCAACUGCUUUAUGUGCCAAUUUGUGAAAUCCCCAUUCUGAGAAAUGGAAAAUGGCACAGAAGUUCUUGCAUGGAUAGUUGAACUUACGAUAAUCUGGACAAGAUCAGGUUUUUCAAAGUUUACCAUACAAUAAGUCUUCAGUUCCUGCACAUUUUACAUGAAACAAUCCCGUAGUUACCAUAAUUACUGAUACUGCACUAAAAUCAACAGAAUUUAAAAUACUUUUCGAUAAGUCCUGGGAGGUAACUAUGGACUAAAACUGUAAUAAAACCUGUUAAUGUUACAUUUGUACUUUGCUGAAGGUGUGAAUAUUUCACCAACCUGUUCAUUUCUUCAGCACCAUUUGUUGUGCUUAUACUGGCAAACAUGUCUGUGUACUUAAAAGCUUUUACCCAUCUAUAAUGCCCUGGAUCCCACAGUUUUUUAAAGUAAUGUAAUACAGACUCCUUCCCUUCAAAAACACUAUGAAUUCUCGUUUUUCCUAAAUUAACUGCCCUCCACAGUUUAACAAUUAUGUCUUUCUUGUUCUUUUGCAUGUUUUCAUAACCACAUCCUUCAAGCCAGCCAGCCUUCCACCCCCCCCCCCCCCACCCCCCCGUUAGGCCUGCAGCACUACUAUUGUGGGCACAUGUGUGGUGUCCUUUUACCUAUUAAACUAACCAACCUCCCUGUGAAAUAAACAUAGAUACACUUCACUUUAAAGCAGGGAAGUACUCCCUGAAUUGCAUUUACCUCGGACUCUGAGAAAUUGGUAACCCAGUAUGCAGGAUUUAUGUCUGUAUUCUAUUCCUUGUAAAAAUAGUUAGUGCUUUACAAAUUUAUCUUGUGUCUUCUACCUGAAGAUAAAAAUCCUACCUCUAAAUAGCACACUUUUGCUUUCGCUAUUAUAAAGAACAGUGGAAUGUCCUACUUUGUGGCUUUGUCGCAUCAAGCAAGCAUACUGUUCCAUACUUAGUGGUUCAAUUUGCCAUCUAGUCUGGUAGCACAAGAGGAGUGGCUGUACCUCUCCAUCUACAUCUGCACAUGGUUGGAAAUAGUCACCUGUUAAUUCUCUUCCAGUCAUUAAUCUAAUUUUGCAGAGCAUCAUAAUCAUUUGUAGUUCUUUUAGUUUCAAAAACUGCUUGUUAUACAGGAAUAAAAAUGGUCCAAGGAGUAAGACAUGUAGUUUUAAUGUGAUCUGGCCUGACUUUUUCAGCCAUGGAUUUGCUUUGCAGAUACAAAAAAGAACUGUACAUGCUGAGGAAGGAAUUCUGUUAGUAUUAAGACACUGUGAAAGCUCAAUUGUUAUAAAAUUGGUGUUGUUAUAGGACAUGGGUGACAAUGACAAUCAGUGGCUGCCUACAGCCUAAUCCAAUGACUUGUCAUUGCGUUACUGAAAAUUCUAAAAGAAAACUGAAGUACCAAACAUGCAAAACAUCUUCAGUUCUUUUUCGCUGUUCUCCAUAAAACGUGUGUUUUAAUUAUUUGA